GUGGGGAAUUGUUCGCAAUGGGCGAAAGCCUGACGACGCAACGCCGCGUGGAGGAUGAAGGUCUUCGGAUUGUAAACUCCUGUUGAUCGGGAAGAACUCCCCUGGGAUUAAUACCUUCAGGGGUUGACGGUACCGGUUGAGGAAGCCCCGGCUAACUCUGUGCCAGCAGCCGCGGUAAUACAGAGGGGGCGAGCGUUGUUCGGAAUUACUGGGCGUAAAGGGCGCGUAGGCGGCCGACUAAGUCAGACGUGAAAUCCCCAGGCUCAACCUGGGAACUGCGUCUGAUACUGGCUGGCUUGAAUCCGGGAGAGGGAUGCGGAAUUCCAGGUGUAGCGGUGAAAUGCGUAGAUAUCUGGAGGAACACCGGUGGCGAAGGCGGCAUCCUGGACCGGCAUUGACGCUGAGGCGCGAAAGCCAGGGGAGCAAACGGGAUUAGAUACCCCGGUAGUCC
rnacentral:rRNA from 1 species